UGGUAGCCAGCUGAUUGGUGUUUACUCGGAAAACCUUGUCCCCUCUUGGCUAGUCAGUUUGAUCAUGCAGAAAACUUUGAAUUAGAAAAUAAAACACACGACUUGCUAGCCACGGCAAAUGAGCCUACUUCGGUAUAAUUACGCAAUCUACCACUUCUGUCUACUGUAAACAGGUCCUGACCACCCAGCCUUCUCAGAAGCGAUCCCUGCCCCUGUAGCAGCCUUCCCCCACCAACACAGAAACACACAUACACACACACAUACACACACACACGUACACACACACGUACACACACGUGGGCCUCUGGACCAGGAUGACAAUGGAAGAGAUGAAGAAAUGAAGCAGAGAUGACCUCGAUGGUUUCCAUGACACUCUACACUGUGAUGUACCCCGUCUUCACGAGGUAAAGAGGAUUCGUUGGAGAGAGUGAACCUGUUCGGCAGC